UCACACAGUCACACAGUACUACUACGUUACACCGAUUGGUUAUAUAUCUCUCACAUGUCAGCGGCGAUCCCCUCGUCGCCGGCGACGGCGGUCUCGAUGUCCUGGACACGCCUGUUGGGGACGGCGCAGUUGUUCCGGAUCUCGCCCUUGGUGCCGGUGAGAAUGUCCAUGUUGCUCAUCUUGGUCAUGGACCUCGCGAACUGCUCGAAGAAAGCGCCCUGGUUGAGGGAGAAGCGUGUGGCCAUGCGCUUGGUGGUCGGGUGGUCGAUCAGGCCCUGGUCCGACUUGAACAGCCCCUGCCUCGCGAUCAGGUCGAAGUAGUACUUGUUGUCGAACACGUCCGGCGUGCGCACGUCGAGGUUCUGGGUCAGCGUGCCGGCGGGGUUGUCCCCGGCGCACUUGUUCCUCAGCGCCGUGGCGAACUUGCCGUCGAUGGCCGGGUUGGUGUCGAACACCGGCUUGAACCGGUCCUCGAAGGCCGGGCAGUGGGCGACGCCGAAGGUGUGGGCGCCGGAGAGGGACACGAGGUCGGCGACGUCGAGGCUCCGGUUGGCGAAGGAGGAGAUGAGGGUGGGCACGUCGAAGAAGGGCGCCGGCAGGAGGCCGACGAGUGCGGACGACGCCGGGGCGAGCCCGUCGCGGCGGCCGAGGGCGACGUCGAAGCUGGGGCCGCCGGCCUUGACGAGGGAGUCGCGGGUGGCGAGCACGGUGAUGUCGGCGCAGGAGACGGUGGGCCCGCAUGCGCGGUGCACGGCAGCGCGGAUGCGCUCGAUGAGGUCGAGCGCCACGGGGCGGAGCGUCUGGUUGGGGAUCUCGUUGAGCUCGCUGCCGGCGCCCUUGAGCAGCACGGAGGCGUCGCAGCCCUGCGGGAAGCAGUCGUGGAAGAGGAUGCGGAUGAGCGCCGGCGCCACGCCCACGUCGCGCCGGAACGUCUCGGCGACGUGGAACUCCACGAUGCGCUCCAGGUCCGGGCACGUGGCGGCGUGGAAGUUUGGUGACAGCUGGCCCUCCGACGAGUGGACGGCGGCGCAGACCAAGGCCAGGACGGCGAUGGCCGCUGCUGCUCUGGACGCCAUUGCUGAAGCUGAGCUUCUUCUUGCACCUGGACCUAGCUAGGUAGCUACUUAGGACUGAGGGAGGGUCGUGUGGCUUGCACAAGAUACCCACUACACCUUGUUAUUUAUACAUCGAGCUGGGUUGCUCGAUCUGAUCCCAUCAUGUGAAGUUAAAGUCGUAGAGGUUAACUAGAGAAGUUGAUAGACGACGAUUAGCUACCUCCAUCUCCAUGCUGGGCACCCACCCACGCAGCUAGCACGAUGUGAUCCACAAGAGAGAAGACUAGUCGCAGAGAGAGAGAGAGAGAGACUAAUUACAAAUUAAAGAGAACAUGCAACAUGGGCAAGUUGCAUGGACAAAGCUGGUAAGGAAAAUCAACUGGCCGGCUAGGGUACUAGGGUACCCCAAAUUCGUGUCUCUUAUUCUAACUUUCCUCCUGGUUUCCACGUGAACUUUCACCUAACACCACAGUGACAGGCAUGUUGGACAUACUACUCCUAGUAUAUACUCCUACAUGCAAAUUAUUUAUGCAAGGAAAAAAGUGUAGAUUGCGGACGGGAACUUUUGAAACCUAGAUGUAUAUACAUUCUGUAUGAAAAAAAAUUAUAAUUCAACAAAAAAUCAAAAAAAUUGAAAAUGUUUUUCAAAUAAACUUGACCUUUCAUUGUAUUUGUGUGAAAUUUUUUCACAAAAAUAAAAUUAUACUUUAACUUCUUUCUAAAAAAUAAAAAAAUCAUUAGAAUUGUAUGAAUAAUGACCUAUAAUAGCUAAUAAAUUUGUCUUUUCUCUCAGAAGUCAAUGUUGUUUUUGUUGAAAAUUUAUAUACUUGUGCAAAACAAAAUCAAGUUUUAUAUAAAAAUAUUUCCAAACUAUUUUAACUUCUUAAUUAAUUAUUAAAAUUUUAAUAUAUAUAUGUUGCAUCUACAACCAGAAACCAAAGUAUAUUUUCCUAUAGAUUGCUAGACAGAUUCCAUGAAUCGUGUACGUGCUUGCUAAUUUGGUAGGGCAUAAUUUACGGAUCAAGCAAGGGCAUCCAGUUGGAUCUACUUAACGUAUAUGGAAUAAUUCUGAACGGCACGAAGCUACGUGUUGAGUGAGCGAUUAGUUAAUGGCGGCUAGCAAAGCUAAGCUAGGUGUGGUUAGUUGGGAUCAAGUGUCGUCUUAUCUCUCGGACGAUGCUUGCAAAGCUACGUACCACUUGCAUGCCAAAUUAAAGCCGCUGAAAGUUCGCCGCCGGGCACGUGCUGCACUAUACCACAACAGUAUUAUAUCAGCUACGUACGUACACUGGAUCGGGUCAGGCAUGGGCAUGGGCAUGGUCGGCAUAGACGCGUGCUUUCCUACAGUAGUUCCUAUCCAAAAACUCAUUGGCUCUUCUAUCGUCGCCGCUCCUUCAUCAGCAAAUACAAUAAGUGAAUGGAUGAAAACUCGUUCCUUUUUUGCGUGAAUAUGCACGUCAAGCUAUAAGAGCAACUCCAACGAGUCGGCUUAUUUCGUCCGAAGGCGUUCUUGAAUUUUAAUGGACUGAAAAAUCGUUUCAACGCAUCGAUCUAAAUGGACAUAUGUCCGCUUUUCGUCUAUUUGUCGACCCUCCCGGUUGACCUUGAUUUGCAUCGGCAUGGAUAGGCGACGGAUGGGCGCGCUGCGAGCCAACUACUUCCUCUGACCCGUCAAUCGGUGGCAAAGCCUUCAUUGUUUUCCUAAAAUCCUUCCGCCCGUACGCGCUCCGAGCCACUUGCCAUGGACGACAACCUUGAUGCCAAAAACUUCUGAUUAUUUUGAUGUGAAACGUUCUGAUUAUUUUGAUGUGAAACGUUGACAAAAGGUUUAUCCGCUUGCAAAAUUCCAUCACCGUAUGUCAUUGCUAGAAAUCAUGCAAGAAAAAAAUCAAUGCUACAAACUGCGUUUGAAUUAACAUUUUGGAGCAUUGAUCUUUUUUUUGCCAUGGUUUUCACGGAUGUCAUAUGUGAUGAAAUUUCGCAAGCCAACAAAUAUCUUGUUAAUGUAUCGCACGAAACAAAUUCAGAAUUUUAAGAAUUGAUUUUCAUUUUGAAGUAAUUUUACUGUUCAUUAAAGUUCGUAUGAGCUCCGGAUAAGAACAGCCACGUCCAUAUAUGCAAGGAAAAGUGGUACAGAUUGCUAGACAGACUCCAUGAAUUUACGGAUCAAGCAAGGGCAUCCAGUUGAAUCUACUUUAGGGAAAUGGAAUCGUUUUGAACGACACGAAGCUACGAGUUGAAUGAUUGAUUAGUUAAUGGCGGCUACCAAAGCUAAGCUUAGGUUUGGUUAGUUCGGGAUCAAGUUUGGUCUUAUCUCUUGACGAUGCAUGCAAAGCUACGUACCACUUGCAGGUCAAAUUGGAGAGCUGAAAGUUCGCCGCCGGGCACGUGCUGUGCUGCAUCACAACAAUGCUUUUUCAGGCAUCUCCAACAGCGACCCAUAAUCUGUCCGGAUUGCACUGUUCGGACCGCGCAAGCCAUCUAACACGGUUCUGUAUCAGUCCGUAAUUCGAACGGAUUUAUUUCUGUAAACUGAAGGCAAACAUGAAGGCUUUGUGGUACUCCGGACAUUUGAACUGUUGCUUUUUCCUCUCAUGCAUCCAAAAGGAAGACGGAGCUCGUGCUUUUGUAGCAUCCCCAACUGUUUGUGUAGUAGGAAUCCCCCACUCUCUUCUUCCAUACCCCGCCGCACUCCAUCCAAUUCCCUCUUUUUCCCACCCUCUCAUUUCUUCAGCUGUCGAUGCAUCGAACCAUCCGAGGUGCCGUCAGAGGGUUCGAAUAAUCCGCAAAUCAUGCUUGCCCAACAGAUCAACCCGACGAUGCGGCGGGAUCGAUCUCUACGUCAAAGCGAAGGCCGCAAAGGAGGAGAAGCUCCAGAAGCGGUGGCCCGCCGGUGGGCUUGGUGGCGACGAUGUGCAUGAAGGUCGUGGCGAGAGGUGAUCGUUGCAGCCGUGGCGGACGCCGCUACAUGGGCGGGCACACAGUAUAGACGGCGGCGGCGUGGUCGGAGCCUUCCAAGCCUCUGUACUACUCCGCCGACAAGCAGCUCACAACCCCCGUAUUAUAGUGCCCUACAUCGUCAACGUCAAAGCAGCGCCGCUCUUCUCUGCGUAUUCUUUGCCGCAACUUGUCCAGGGGUGGACGGGGGCCAGGGUGCACAUGGGUGCCCACAAGCUGUUCACUCCAAUGCCUAGAGCGGGGGAGCGGGCGUACGAUGCAGACGGAGAGAUGCUCCAUAUCAUCCACGGCGUAGGCGAGGGAGGAGGAGGCAGGCAUGAGGACGAGCAGGUGAAAGACUCGGACCCCACCCGUCAACUACCAGCAGCAACAGUCAUACACCUAGAUAGCCACACAAUGGUCGUACACACAGACCGGCGAUGACACACAACAAUAACAACAUUUGGCCGCCGGAGAGCAGCAGCCGUAGGGGGAGGAGUAGGAGGAUGGACGCGCCGAUAAUCCAAGGAAGAAGGGUAGAUGAGACAACUUUAACAUGUCGGAGGACGAGCUGUUUUGUGAUGGAUGGUUGGUCACUAGCAUUGAUCCGUUUCAUGGCACGGAGAAAAAAGACACAACCUUUUAGAGAAACAUUCACAUAUGCUUCAUGAACACGAGAAUUCGCAUCCUACUGUGACAUGCUCAUCCACAACCGUCAAUGGAAGUCCCUAAACCAUUCCCAACGGGGCGAACCAAAUCUGGUCCAAACGUCUAAAUUGACCAGCAACCCCAUAUUCGGCCCACAUAUAGGAAGGAUAUUGUGAUGCCCGGAUGCGCUUGCCACAUCGGCUUGGACCGUUAGGGCCAGGCCGACCUCACAAAAUCCCCAUCCCAUUCGACGAACCUUAGUCAAACCUCAGUUCGCACACAUCUUCUCCACUUUCCUUGUCUCUUGAGCUUCCUCCCAAACCCUCUUCCCUCCGCCAUGUUCAACUCUGGUGAGCGCUCCAGUAGCAAGCCCGAUGAAAUCGAAUGGGACGGUGUCGCCAAAGAGGAGGACGGUGGAUCUAGCUCCAAGGUGACGGAUGACGAAGAGCUCGCGCUACACAUCACCAUCGAGUGCUCGAGCGUACGUGGACACCUCCCUCGCUUUCGCCGUGAGCUUGUCAACCUCCCGCCGAUGGAAUGGGGGUCGCGGACGCCCAUUCCGCUCCAAAUCCGGAGCUCGAGCGUCUCCCUUAAUUUCCUCACUGGUGCGCGCACCACCCGAGAAGCGGUGGGUGCUUGCGCCUGUGCUGUGCGGUUCCAGUGGCUAUGCUCAUGCAUGAGCCAAAGGCAAAGGCAACCCGAUAGUGGGUGACGGCUUUGGAGGCGCCCGUUCAUCUUGCUCUAUCCCCCUCGAACCAGAGGAGGCGCUCAUCCGCGAGGAUCAUGUGGCGGUGGCUGGCCACGGCGGAUACCUGCGUGACGUCUCCGGCUCGAGAAUGCGAAGGCGCUCCGUCUCAAUCUCGAGGCGUCCGAGUGCCUCACCCAGGAGAAGGAGGCCGCCGCCAUCAAGGUCGCUAUGAUAUACUCCCUUCCUUUUUAAAUAUAAGUCUUUGAAGAGGUUUCAUUAGUGGACUACAUACGGAUGUAUAUAGACAUACUUUGAAGUAUAGAUUCACUCAUUUUGCUUCGUAUAUAGACUCCUAGUGAAAUAUCUUUAAAGACUUAUAUUUAGAAACGGAGGGAGUAAAUGCUAUGUUCUAUGAUAUCUCGUAUGAUCUACGUACGUACAUAUGAACUAUUCCCUCCGUUCUAAAAUAUAAGACCUUUUAGGGAUUUCAUUAAGAGACUACACACGGAGCAAAAUGAGUGAAUCUGUACUCUAAAAUAUGUCUAUGUACAUCCGUAUGUAGUUUAUAGUACAAUCUCUAAAAUGUUUUAUAUUUAGAAACGAAGGGAGUAUUAUACAUAUGAAUUAUUUUUAACUUGUCAAUGACUUAUGCUGGCUAUACUGUAUUAACCAUCCUCACUGCAAGUGGACGCGUCCGCGAGGGCUGGAAUUUAGCAAGCCCUAAUUAUAUAUGCUCUUUAAUAUUUGGACAUGGAGUGUAUUGUUUCUCAGGAUAGGUGCAUGCAUCGGCGGCACGUGUUUCGCCGUAUAAAAAUAAAACAAUGAACUACAUGUAUACGUUCGUACGCUAACGUGUUAGGCUACACAGAAGUCAUGUAGCAUCUUCUUUUCAUCUCUGACUGAGCAUGACAUAGACGUGCACACACGCCUGUAUAUGGAGUUAGAAAUCGUGGACUAGGCAGUACUAAUAGUUAGAGCACCAGACGCCUCAAAUGACGUUUCAUACACCCGUAGAUGCAGUGACUGGAUAGAAGAAAAAAUAAUAAUUUAACCAGACCCAUCACAUUAUUCCUAUAGUCCGGGCUGUUUGUGAACCCUCAUAUCCUUUUUAAAUAUGUAGAGGAUAUGAGGGCACGCGAAUGAUCAGUCCGUCAUGUAGGAUGUGACCCCACCACAAACUACAUUUUUCUUUUCUUUAUUCAUUUUAUCUUACUCUCUCUUCGUCUUCAUCAAUCACGUGCAGGUAACCGAAAAUAUAAGGAAGAAAACGAAGAGUGUGGAUGUACGAUCGGACAAAUAGGGAACACGCCCGGUCAUUGAUCGGACGUGUCCGGGCGUUUAGGGUGUCAUAUUUGCAAUGUCCGGUUGUAGAUGCUCUUACAUAUACUCCCUUCGUUCCUAAAUAUAAGUUUUUUAAGAGUUUCUACUAAAAAACUAUAUACGGAUAUAUAUAGACAUACAUUAGAGUGUAGAUUUAAUCAUUUUGCUCCGUGUGUAGUCCCCUAAUGAAAUAUCUAAAAAGACUUAUAUUUAAGAAGGGAGGGAGUAUGAUUUAGUAGCUCAAAGGUCGAGUAGGGCCUUUUGGAGCUCGGCCUUCAUAGAGUCUUUUAUUUUUGCAAAAUUUAAAAUUUAAACUUUCUGAUUUUGAAAAUGCAAGUAUAGAAGGAUGAACUUUAUAUGUGUUCAAAAAUUCACAAUGAAAUACGUUGAGACACGAUCUGUGGAAAAGAACAAACUCAUGUACUUUUGGAAUGAAUGGUUUUAUGUGUUAAAUCCAUAAAUUUAUCUUUUUUGCAUAACCCUUGUUUCAACGUAUUUCAUUUCAUAAAUUUAUACACAAUAUGUUAUGCCUCCAUGUAUACCUAUAUUUUAAUAUAUAAUUUUAAAAUAUAAAAAUAUAUUUUUUGAUGAAUUUUGGGGUUUUCAAAAACCGGCCUCCAUAACUGGCCGCCAUGGACGACGAGCUUCAAAAGGCAUUUUCGCUCAAAGGUCUCUAUAUAUACAAUUAGUACACAACAUCUGGUGAUUUGGUCUUGGUCGCGUAAAAAAUUAUCAAGUGAUUUGGAUACUUGUACUCGCCGCGAGUUCUUUUUUUUUUGUAAUGAAAGGGGUUUCCCCCCUGCCCCAUUUUAUUAAAAAUGAAGCAAGCAAAGAAACUCCAACUACCAGUAGCCUAAAAAUACCUCACAACCAAAGUACGCUGGAACUUAUUACAGGCCAAAAUAGCCACCAAACUGGGGAGUUCAACAGACUCAAAGGAAAAAGGCUAGAAACUAACAUCUAAUCUCGCCCCUCCACGGUCAUCUCCAGGCAAUGCGAAGAUGCUCCCCUCGCCGUCUGUCCACCGCCGCGAGUUCUUUGGCUGCAGCUAAGAAUUUUGCACCUAGCUACGUGGACGACGGUCGUCACUAGUGGGGACUCGGCCUAUAGUCCCGGCCCGUAAGGGGCUUUAGUCCCGGUUCACCAACCGGGAUCAAAGGGGCGGGACUAAAGGCCUAACCUUUAGUCCCGGCCCUGUUCCAAGCCGGGACCAAAGGUGCUCCACGUGGGCGCCUCGGAGCACCCUCAGGGGCAGGCCCUUUAGUCCCGGGUCUUAACACGGACCGGGACUAAAGAGUUUCUGCAGAAUUUGUUUAUUUUAGGGUUUUAGGGUUUAGGUGUUCGGGAGAUUAACGUGAUGCCUCGUUUGGUGUUCGGGAAUUAGUUUUCAUAUAAUUCUAAAUAUACAUGUUUAUGCAUAUGUGUAUAUAUAUAUAUAUAUAUAUAUAUAUAUAUAUAAGAUUUACUUAUCUUACAAGCGAGCAUAUAUAUACAAUUAUAUGGAGAUCUGAAUUAUCGGGACUAGAGCCCGUCUAUUCGAUUACAUGGACCAACAUCAGUAAUGGCCCCUAGCUACACUAAAUCGUCAUUUGUUAUCUAUAGCUUCCGUCCUCAGAAAGGUCGCAAGCUCCUCUGCAACAGCAAUCGCACGUUGCUCUGGUAGGAUAUUCUCCCUCAUGGCCGUGUACUAUAUAAGAAGAGGAAAUGAAUAUGAAUAUCAAUCAUGAUAACAAAGAAUGACGGGUAAAAAUAGAGGUGUGAAUGUUCAUUGCUUACGUCGUAUCUGUGAUCCUUGUGCUCAGAGGUAAACAUGCGAAUGGUCUCGCAAACAUAGUAUCCGCAUAGAUGCAUCCCCCGUGGCUGCUGGUCACACUUUACGAGAAUAGAAUAUAUAUAAUCAAAAUAAUAAUCUAGCAUCAUAAAUGUACUGAAAAUAGAAGUAUAUCAUACUACUACUUACCUGAGCCGCUCUAAAGGUCAGCUUCUCAUGCUCGAUACCGGGAGUCAGGCACUUGAACCGCUUCCAAACCCAUGCCCGACAAGGAAAAUGAUUUGCUAAGUUUUCGAUUAAUUGAUAUAUCAUAAAAUCAUCGAAAGAGACCGAUAGAGCGCAAGAAUGAUUGAAAUUACCCUUGGAGCAUGUCCUGCAGGCUUUGGAACUGUUCCAAGGGUCUCGAUAAUGGGUCGAAGGCAUCAACUCUUCCCUUAUCAAUUUGAAUAUCCAACAGAAUCCAAUGGAAGCUGCACAUGUAUAUAUAUAUAUGUGUCAGUAACUUAUCAAUUACACUUAUAAGUGAAUGGACACAACAGAGUACAGACCCUCACCUGAAGUUGUAUGGAAACAGUAUGUGGUCACAGAAAUUUUGAUCUGUUAGAAACCUUAGAAGGUUUUCCUCCGUCUCCUUGGGUUUAUCAGUUAGCGUCGCUAUAUGUAUUUUAUCUAGGUCAAUAAACCCAAUAUUUAGGAUGUUCCUACUUUUACAUUCCAGAAUCUUCAUUCUGCAUAAUAGAGUACAAGUUAUAUGUAGACAAUGAAUUGAAAUAACUAAACAAGUUAUAUGUAAACAAUGAAUUGAAAAACUUACAGACAAUAGCAACUCAUAAGCGAUUUGUCAAGGGCGUCGGCAUUGUACAUCUGGAAGAGUUCAUCAAAGUCGAUAUGGAUUUCUUCAGGGCGGCCGUAGUACUCCCGUGGGACACGCGCCACGAUCAUCGUUCUCCCAUUCUUUGAUUCACUUAAGUACCAUGUAUGCAAGUAACGCAUAUUUGUUGGGAGAUCAUCUUUACUGACCAAAGGCUCUCCCAUGACAAACUGUGGCUUAGGGGCUACCACAGCCUUGGGUAACCUGUCGUCUUGGGAAGCCAGAACGUCUUCAACCGGGAUACCCCAUUCAUCCGUCCACUUCUUUGCUAAUUCCAAAUCUUGCCCCUGCACCAGAGGGGGAACAUUCUCGGGUAACACCCUCAGGGGUGGGAUCGACUGUUUGGCCUGUUGUCCAAGCUGAGGAACGUCUGAUCUUUUUUUGCUUGUAGUUGAACUUGAUUUGCUCCCACUUGCAUUUGCACGUGAUCUACUCUUUUUCCCUUCCUUCUGCAAUGUGCGUGUAUAGUCAUCUGCUCUUUUUCCCUUCCUUCUGCAAUGUGCGUGUAUAGUCAUCAGGCUUAUGGUGUAAGUCAUACUGUGAUGGAAGGGUCGUGAAGUAUUUUGCAAAUGCUAUUUGCUUCUCGGUGUAUUCCGGGCGGGGCUCGGGUUCCUUCUUUUUCAUCUACGCAUCAUAAUGUUCCUUUGCUAUCCUCGCGUUUUCCUCGGCGGUACGAUCAUAAGGUCUGAUAGGAAGAUUAGCAUGAGGUACCUUUGGAAGGGGCGACAGUUUGCGCUUUGGGGAGCUCCGUCGCUUAGAAGUCAUUGACGGAGCGUUCUUGCUGGCACGCUUCCGCUUAGUAUCCAGAGCGGGCGGCGGCGGAGACGGACGACCCAAGUCCGGCGGCGGUGAUCGAGAUGGACUCGUGUUGUGCUGGCCGUCGUCAUGUGGAGGGCUUGGAGGUGAUGGAGGUGUAGGUGACCUGCGACGACUCGGAGGCGGUGUUGUCCUUGGGGCCGAGCCUGGAAGCUUGAUGUAGUUCUUGUCCCAUAGGAUGACUCCACCCAGUACUUCUCCGAGUGUCCUCUCAUCUUCGGGUCCAGCUAUGUCGAGCUCCAUAUCAUGAAACCCCGCCAUGAUUUCAUCCACCCCGACUUUAGCAAAGCCAGCUGGAAUCUCACGGCCAUGCCAGCGUGCAUCAGGGCCAGAAGGUAAAGCUUGUCCGACGGCCACCUUCAUGGAUAUGUUCUUGAAUUUCUGAUGGAGUUCACAUGAUGUUGACUCCUUGAUUCCAUCCACGGGGUAGCCGGGACCGCCCUCUAUCAUUCUUCAUGCAUCGUCGGGCGGGGCCUAAGAUUCAGCCACACUGCUUUUCCGCUUAGAUGGGGCGCCGGUAAUAUCGAGUGCAGGAUCUUCCUGGCGUGCUACUCCUUUAAGCUCAUCAAUAUGCUUCUGUUGCUCGUUAAUCCUGGCAAGCAACUGGUUGAACCUGUCAUUCUCCUCAUCCUGUUGUCGCUUCUUUGCUCUCGCUCGGCUUCUGUAAGUGUCUUGGUCUCUGGCAAACCCAAGCUACCACGGGUAAGAAGGACCGAAGCCUCGCGUUCGUCCUCCAUGUUCGUCAUUGCCGAGGACCAGUGUGAGUAAAUCUUUCUCUCUAUCUGCAGUGAACUGUCUUUGUCCCUCCUUAAUUUCUUUCACUAUCUUUUUCCAAUUCUCCCUGGGUAUCCUAAGACCGUCACUGCAGAUGAGGUCCCAUGUUUCUUCAUCGUACGAACCACCAUGCGCAAGGAACCAAUUUCUUGCUCUCAAUUCCCACUCAUCACGGAGUGGUUCACGUAUGAUGCCUUUAGCUAGCAGAUCUUGCUCUUGUUGGAAUUAUUCCCUAGAGGCAAUAAUAAAUAUAGUUAUUAUUAUAAUUCCUGUAUCAAGAUAAUAGUUUAUUAUCCAUGCUAUAAUUGUAUUGAAUGAAGACUCAUUUACAUGUGUGGAUACAUAGACAAAACACCAUCCCUAGCAUGCCUCUAGUUGGCUAGCCAGUUGAUCGAUGAUAGUCAGUGUCUUCUGAUUAUGAACAAGGUGUUGUUGCUUGAUAACUGGAUCACGUUAUUGGGAGAAUCACGUGAUGGACUAGACCCAAACUAAUAGACGUAGCAUGUUGAUCGUGUCAUUUUGUUGCUACUGUUUUCUACGUGUCAAGUAUUUAUUCCUAUGACCAUGAGAUCAUAUAACUCACUGACACCGGAGGAAUGCCUUGUGUGUAUCAAAUGUCGCAACGUAACUGGGUGACUAUAAAGAUGCUCUACAGGUAUCUCCGAAGGUGUUGGUUGAGAUAGUAUGGAUCAAGACUGGGAUUUGUCACUCCGUGUGACGGAGAGGUAUCUCGGGGCCCACUCGGUAAUACAACAUCACACACAAGCCUUGCAAGCAAUGUAACUUAGUGUAAGUUGCGGGAUCUUGUAUUACGGAACGAGUAAAGAGACUUGCCGGUAAACGAGAUUGAAAUAGGUAUGCGGAUACUGACGGUCGAAUCUCGGGCAACUAACAUACCGAAGGACAAAGGGAAUGACAUACGGGAUUAUACGAAUCCUUGGCACUGAGGUUCAAACGAUAAGAUCUUCGUAGAAUAUGUAGGAUCCAAUAUGGGCAUCCAGGUCCCGCUAUUGGAUAUUGACCGAGGAGUCUCUCGGGUCAUGUCUACAUAGUUCUCGAACCCGCAGGGUCUGCACACUUAAGGUUCGACGUUGUUUUAUGCGUAUUUGAGUUAUAUGGUUGGUUACCGAAUGUUGUUCGGAGUCCCGGAUGAGAUCACGGACGUCACGAGGGUCUCUGGAAUGGUCCGGAAACGAAGAUUGAUAUAUAGGAUGACCUCAUUUGAUUACCGGAAGGUUUUCGGAGUUACCGGGGAUGUACCGGGAAUGACGAAUGGGUUCCGGGAGUUCACCGGGGGGGGCAACCCACCCCGGGGAAGCCCAUAGGCCUUGGGGGAGACACACCAGCCCUUAGUGGGCUGGUGGGACAGCCCACAAGUGCCCUAUGCGCCAAGGAGAAGAAAAUCAAGAGAGAAAGAAAAAAAAAGGAGGAGGUGGGAAGGGAGGGGGACUCCCUCCCACCAAACCUAGUCCAACUCGGUUUGGGGGGGAGAGUCCUCCCCCUUGGACUCAGCCGACCCCCUUGGGGCUCAAGAGCCCCAAGGCAAGGCCCCCUCCCUCCCACCUAUAUAUACGGAGGUUUUAGGGCUGAUUUGAGACGACUUUUCCACGGCAGCCCGACCACAUACCUCCACGGUUUUUCCUCUAGAUCGCGUUUCUGCGGAGCUCGGGCGGAGCCCUGCUGAGACAAGGUCAUCACCAACCUCCGAAGCGCCGUCACGCUGCCGGAGAACUCUUCUACCUCUCCGUCUCUCUUGCUGGAUCAAGAAGGCCGAGAUCAUCGUCGAGCUGUACGUGUGCUGAACGCGGAGGUGCCGUCCGUUCGGUACUAGAUCGUGUCACUCAUCGCGGGAUUGUUCACGGGGCGGAUCGAGGGACGUGAGGACGUUCCACUACAUCAACCGCGUUCACUAACGCUUCUGCUGUACGAUCUACAAGGGUACGUAGAUCACUCAUCCCAUCUCGUAGAUGGACAUCACCAUGAUAGGUCUUCGUGCCGUAGGAAAAUUUUUGUUUCCCAUGCGACGUUCCCCAACAGUGGCAUCAUGAGCUAGGUUCAUGCGUAGAUGUCUUCUCGAGUAGAACACAAAAGUUUUUUAUGGGCGGUGAUGUGCGUUUUGCUGCCCUCCUUAGUCUUUUCUUGAUUCCGCGGUAUUGUUGGAUUGAAGCGGCUUGGACCGACAUUACUCGUACGCUUACGAGAGACUGGUUUCAUCGUUACGAGUACCCCCCUUUGCUCAAAGAUGACUGGCAAGUGUCGGUUUCUCCAACUUUAGUUGAAUCGGAUUUGACCGAGGAGGUCCUUGGAUGAGGUUAAAUAGCAACUCAUAUAUCUCCGUUGUGGUGUUUGCGUAAGUAAGAUGCGAUCCUACUAGAUACCCUUGGUCACCACGUAAAACAUGCAACAACAAAAUUAGAGGACGUCUAACUUGUUUUUGCAGGGUAUGAUUGUGAUGUGAUAUGGCCAACGAUGUGAUGUGAUAUAGUGGAUGUAUGAGAUGAUCAUGUUGUAAUAGAAAUAUCGACUUGCACGUCGAUGGUACGGCAACCGGCAGGAGCCAUAGGGUUGUCUUUAUACUAACGUUUGUGCUUGCAGAUGCGUUUACUAUUUUGCUAGGAUGUAGCUUUAGUAGUAAUAGCAUAAGUAGCACGACAACCCCGAUGGCAACACGUUGAUGGAUGAUCAUGGUGUGGCGCCAGUGACAAGAAGAUCGUGCCGGUGCUUUGGUGAUGGAGAUCAAGAAGCACGUGAUGAUGGCCAUAUCAUGUCACUUAUGAAUUGCAUGUGAUGUUAAUCCUUUUAUGCACCUUAUUUUGCUUAGAACGGCGGUAGCAUUAUGAGGUGAUCUCUCACUAAAAUUUCAAGACGAAAUUGUGUUCUCCCCGACUAUGCACCGUUGCUACAGUUCGUCGUUUCGAGACACCACGUGAUGAUCGGGUGUGAUAGACUCAACGUUCACAUACAACGGGUGCAAAACAGUUGCGCACGCGGAACACUCGGGUUAAGCUUGACGAGCCUAGCAUGUGCAGACAUGGCCUCGGAACACAUGAGACCGAAAGGUCGAUCAUGAAUCAUAUAGUUGAUAUGAUUAGCAUAGGGAUGCUUACCACUGAAACUAUACUCAACUCACGUGAUGAUCGGACUUGGGAUAGUGUAAGUGGAUCAUGAACCACUCAAAUGACUAGAGAGAUGUACUUUUUGAGUGGGAGUUUAGCAUAUAAUUUGAUUAAGUUGAACUCUAAUUAUCUUGAACAUAGUCUAAGUCCACUUUGAAUAUAUUUGUGUUGUAGAUCAUGGCUCACGCGACAGUCAUCCUGAAUUUUAAUACGUUCCUAGAGAAAGCUAAGUUGAAAGAUGGUGGAAGCAACUUUGUAGACUGGGCUCAUAAUCUUAAGCUAAUCUUACAAGCUGGGAAGAAGGAUUAUGUCCUUAAUGCUGCGCUAGGAGAUGAACCACCCGCUACGGCUGAUCAGGAUGUUAAGAACGCUUGGUUAGCACGUAAGGAGGACUACUCAAUAGUUCAAUGUGCAGUCUUGUAUGGCUUAGAACCGGGACUUCAACGUCACUUUGAGCGUCAUGGAGCAUUUGAGAUGUUCCAGGAGUUGGAGUUUAUCUUUCAGAAGAACGCCCGGAUCGAGAGGUAUGAGACCUCCGAUAAAUUCUAUGCUUGCAAGAUGGAGGAAAACUUGUCUGUCACUGAACAUGUGCUCAAAAUGUCUGGGUACUCAAACCGUCUAGCUGAACUGGGGAUUGAACUCCCGCAAGAAGCUAUCACUGACAGAAUCCUUCAAUCACUGCCGCCAAGCUACAAAGGCUUUGUGUUGAACUACAACAUGCAAGGGAUGAACAAGUCUCCCGGCGAGUUGUUUGCGAUGUUGAAAGUCGCAGAGUCUGAACUCCAUAAAGAGCAUCAAGUGUUGAUGGUGAAUAAGACCACUAGUUUCAAGAGAAACGGCAAAGGCAAGAAGGGCAAUUCGAAGAAGAGCGGCAAGCCUGUUGCCAAUCCGCCGAAGAAACCCAAAGCUGGACCUAAGCCUGAAACGGAGUGUUUCUAUUGCAAGGGUAUGGGUCACUGGAAGCGCAAUUGCCCCAAGUAUCUGGCAGAUAAGAAGGCGGGCAAAGAAAAAUUAGGUAUAUUUGAUAUACAUGUUAUUGAUGUGUACUUAACCGGCUCUCGUAGUAGUACCUCGGUAUUCGAUACCGGUUCUGUUGCUCAUAUUUGCAACUCGAAGCAGGAACUGCGGAAUAGACGAAGGCUGGCGAAAGACGAAGUGACGAUGCGCGUAGGAAAUGGUUCGAAGGUUGAUGCAAUCGCCGUCGGCACGGUGUCACUUCAGCUACCAUCGGGAUUAGUGAUGAACUUAAAUCAUUGUUAUUUAGUGCCUGCGUUGAGCAUGAACAUUAUAUCUGGAUCUUGUUUAUUGCGAGACGGUUACUCUUUUAAGUCUGAGAAUAAUGGUUGUUCUAUUUCUAUGAGUAACAUCUUUUAUGGUCAUGCACCGAAUGUGAGAGGAUUGUUCAUAUUGAAUCUUGAUAGCAAUACACAUAUACAUAACAUUGAGACCAAAAGAGUUAGAGUAAACAAUGAUAGCGCCAUAUUUUUUUGGCACUACCGCUUGGGUCAUAUUGGUGUAAAGCGCAUGAAGAAACUCCAUGCUGAUGGACUUUUGGAGUCACUUGACUUUGAUUCACUUGACACGUGCGAACCAUGCCUCAUGGGCAAGAUGACUAAGACUCCGUUCUCCGGAACAAUGGAGCGUGCAAGUGACUUAUUGGAAAUCAUACAUACCGAUAUGUGUGGUCCAAUGAGCGUGGAGGCACGCGGCGGAUAUCGUUAUUUUCUCACCUUCACUGACGAUUUAAGUAGAUAUGGUUAUGUCUACUUGAUGAAGCACAAGUCUGAAACAUUUGAAAAGUUCAAGCAAUUUCAGAGUGAAGUGGAAAAUCAUCGUAACAAGAAGAUCAAGUUCCUACGUUCUGAUCGUGGGGGUGAAUAUCUGAGUUUCGAGUUUGGUGCUCACUUAAGACAAUGUGGAAUUGUUUCACAGUUAACACCGCCUCGAACACCAUAGCGUAAUGGUGUGUCCGAACGUCGUAAUCGUACUUUGUUAGAGAUGGUGCGAUCUAUGAUGUCUCUUACUGAUUUGCCCUUAUCAUUUUGGGGUUAUGCAUUAGAAACAGCUGCAUUCACUUUAAAUAGGGCACCAGCAAAAUCCGUUGAGACGACACCAUACGAACUAUGGUAUGGCAAGAGGCCAAAGUUGUCGUUUCUUAAAGUUUGGGGAUGUGAUGCUUAUGUCAAAAAGCUUCAGCUUGAAAAGCUGGAACCCAAAGCGGAAAAAUGCGUCUUCAUAGGUUACCCAAAAGAGACAGUUGGGUACACCUUCUAUCUCAAAUCCGAGGGCAAAGUGUUUGUUGCUAAGAACGGAGCUUUUCUCGAGAAGGAGUUUCUCUCGAGAGAAUUGAGUGGGAGGAAGAUAAGACUUGACGAGGUUGUCGAACCUCUCAUCCCUCUGGAUGGUGGCGCAGGGCAAGGGGAAACCUCUGUCGUUGCGACGCCGGUUGAGGAGGAAGUUAAUGAUGAUGAUCAUGAAACUCCAGUUCAAGUUUCUGUUGAACCACGCAGGUCGACGAGAUCACGUGCUACUCCAGAGUGGUACGGUAAUCCCGUCUUAUCAAUCAUGUUGUUAGACAACAAUGAACCUGCAAGUUAUGAAGAAGCAAUGGUGGGCCCAGAUUCCAACAAAUGGCUAGAAGCCAUGAAAUACGAGAUAGGAUCCAUGUAUGAGAACAAAGUGUGGACUUUGGAGAUACUACCUGAGGGCCGCAAGGCUAUUCAGAACAAAUGGAUCUUUAAAAAGAAGACGGACACUGACGGUAAUGUGACCGUUUAUAAAGCUUGACUUGUGGCAAAGGGUUUUUCACAAGUUCCAGGAAUUGGCUACGAUGAGACUUUCUCACCCGUGGCGAUGCUUAAGUCCGUCAGAAUCAUGUUAGCAAUAGCUGCAUUUUUCGAUUAUGAAAUCUGGCAGAUGGAUGUCAAAACGGCGUUCCUUAACGGUUUCCUUAAGGAAGAGUUGUAUAUGAUGCAACCCGAAGGUUUUGUCGAUCCUAAGAAUGCUAACAAGGUGUGCAAGCUCCAGCGAUCCAUUUAUGGACUGGUGCAAGCAUCUCGGAGUUGGAACAAACGCUUUGAUGAGGUGAUCAAGGCAUUUGGGUUUAUACAAGUGGUUGGAGAAUCUUGUAUUUACAAGAAAGUGAGUGGGAGCUCUGUGGCGUUUCUAAUAUUAUAUGUGGAUGACAUAUUACUGAUUGGAAACAACGUAGAGCUUUUGGAGAGCAUAAAAGGUUACUUGAAUAAAAGUUUCUCUAUGAAGGACCUAGGAGAAGCUGCUUACAUUCUAGGCAUUAAGAUCUAUAGGGAUAGAUCAAAACGCCUGACAGGACUUUCACAAAGCACAUACCUUGAUAAAGUUUUGAAGAGGUUCAAAAUGGAACAGUCCAAGAAAGGGUUCUUGACAGUUUUACAAGGUACGAGAUUGAGUAAGACUCAGUGCCCAGCAACUGAUGAAGAUAGAGAGCAUAUGCGCUCCAUCCCCUAUGCUUCGGCCAUAGGUUCUAUCAUGUAUGCGAUGUUGUGCACUAGACCGGAUGUUAGCCUGGCCAUAAGUAUGGCAGGUAGGUUCCAGAGUAAUCCAGGAGUGGAUCACUGGACAGCUGUCAAGAAUAUCCUGAAGUACCUGAAAAGGACUAAGGAGAUGUUUCUCGUAUAUGGAGGUGACGAAGAGCUCGCCGUAAAAGGUUACGUCGAUGCAAGCUUUGACACAGAUCCGGACGACUCUAAGUCGCAAACCGGAUACGUAUUUAUUCUUAAUGGGGGUGCAGUAAGCUGGUACAGUUCCAAGCAAAGCGUCGUAGCAGAUUCUACAUGUGAAGCGGAGUACAUGGCUGUCUCGGAGGCAGCUAAGGAGGGUGUCUGGAUGAAGCAGUUCAUGACGGAUCUUGGAGUGGUGCCAAGUGCACUGGAUCCAAUAACCUUGUUCUGUGACAACACGGGUGCCAUUGCCUUAGCAAAGGAACCACGGUUUCACAAGAACACCAGACACAUCAAACGACGCUUCAACCUCAUCCGCGACUACGUCGAGGAAGAGGACGUAAAUAUAUGCACAGUGCACACGGAUCUGAAUGUAGCAGACCCGCUGACUGAACCUCUUCCACGGCCAAAACAUGAUCGACACCAGAACUGUAUGGGUGUUAGAUUCAUUACAAUGUAAUUCACAUGAUAAUGUGAGGGCUAGAUUAUUGACUCUAGUGCAAGUGGGAGACUGUUGGAAUUAUGCCCUAGAGGCAAUAAUAAAUAUAGUUAUUAUUAUAAUUCUUGUAUCAAGAUAAUAGUUUAUUAUCCAUGCUAUAAUUGUAUUGAAUGAAGACUCAUAUACAUGUGUGGAUACAUAGACAAAACACCAUCCCUAGCAUGCCUCUAGUUGGCUAGCCAGUUGAUCGAUGAUAAUCAGUGUCUUCUGAUUAUGAACAAGGUGUUGUUGCUUGAUAACUCGCUCACGUCAUUGGGAGAAUCACGUGAUGGACUAGACCCAAACUAAUAGACGUAGCAUGUUGAUCGUGUCAUUUUGUUGCUACUGUUUUCUGCGUGUCAAGUAUUUAUUUCUAUGACCAUGAGAUCAUAUAACUCACUGACAUCGGAGGAAUGCCUUGUGUGUAUCAAACGUCGCAACGUAACUGGGUGACUAUAAAGAUGCUCUACAGGUAUCUCCGAAGGUGUUGGUUGAGAUAGUAUGGAUCAAGACUGGGAUUUGUCACUCCGUGUGACGGAGAGGUAUCUCGGGGCCCACUCGGUAAUACAACAUCACACACAAGCCUUGCAAGCAAUGUAACUUAGUGUAAGUUGCGGGAUCUUGUAUUACGGAACGAGUAAAGAGACUUGCCGGUAAACGAGAUUGAAAUAGGUAUGCGGAUACUGACGAUCGAAUCUCGGGCAACUAACAUACCGAAGGACAAAGGGAAUGACAUACGGGAUUAUACGAAUCCUUGGCACUGAGGUUCAAACGAUAAGAUCUUCGUAGAAUAUGUAGGAUACAAUAUGGGCAUCCAGGUCCCGCUAUUGGAUAUUGACCGAGGAGUCUCUCGGGUCAUGUCUACAUAGUUCUCGAACCCGCAGGGUCUGCACACUUAAGGUUCGACGUUGUUUUAUGCGUAUUUGAGUUAUAUGGUUGGUUACCGAAUGUUGUUCGGAGUCCCGGAUGAGAUCACGGACGUCACGAGGGUUUCUGGAAUGGUCCGGAAACGAAGAUUGAUAUAUAGGAUGACCUCAUUUGAUUACCGGAAGGUUUUCGGAGUUACCGGGAAUGUACCGGGAAUGACGAAUGGGUUCCGGGAGUUCGACCGGGGGGGGGGCAACCCACCCCGGGGAAGCCCAUAGGCUUUGGGGAGACACACCAGCCCUUAGUGGGCUGGUGGGACAGCCCACAAGUGCCCUAUGCGCCAAGGAGAAGAAAAUCAAGAGAGAAAGAAAAAAAAAGGAGGAGGUGGGAAGGGAGGGGGACUCCCUCCCACCAAACCUAGUCCAACUCGGUUUGGGGGGGGAGAGUCCUCCCCUUUGGACUCGGCCGACCCCGUUGGGGCUCCUUGAGCCCCAAGGCAAGGCCCCCUCCCUCCCACCUAUAUAUACGGAGGUUUUAGGGCUGAUUUGAGAUGACUUUUCCACGGCAGCCCGACCACAUACCUCCACGGUUUUUCCUCUAGAUCGCGUUUCUGCGGAGCUCGGGCGGAGUCCUGCUGAGACAAGGUCAUCACCAACCUCCGAAGCGCCGUCACGCUGCCGGAGAACUCUUCUACCUCUCCGUCUCUCUUGCUGGAUCAAGAAGGCCGAGAUCAUCGUCGAGCUGUACGUGUGUUGGACGCGGAGGUGCCGUCCGUUCGGUACUAGAUCGUGGGACUGAUCGCGGGAUUGUUCACGGGGCGGAUCGAGGGACAUGAGGACGUUCCACUACAUCAACCGCGUUCACUAACGCUUCUGCUGUACGAUCUUCAAGGGUACGUAGAUCACUCAUCCCAUCUCGUAGAUGGACAUCACCAUGAUAGGUCUUCGUGCGCGUAGGAAAAUUUUUGUUUCCCAUGCGACGUUCCCCAACAGCUCUUUCUUAUCCCACUUUGGGAUGGCAGUCUCAUAGCCCCCUGGCCCCAGUGUGUGGUGAUAUUUCUUCUUGUCGGCAUUUUUCUUAUUCUUUUCUGAUAAUGCCUUGGCAUCUUCUGACUCCUUGUACUCUUGAAAUGCCUUCCAGUUAUUCGCCUGCUUGGCUAGAUACCCCUCGAAUACUGGCACUUUCUUUGUCUUCCGACAGUUUUUCCAUAGCUUCUUCUUCCAGCUACGGAACAGUUCGGCCAUCUUGUUUAGAGUCCACUGCUUGACUUUGUUCCUCAGUUUUUUUGCGGCGUCUUCAUUCUCACAUUCUGGCAGGUUGAAAUGUGACAUGAGAUCAUUCCAAAGAUUAUCUUUGUACCUUUCGGCGACAUAGUCACUAUCGGCUGCCCCUUUGCGCUUGUUCCACUCCCGUACGCUGAUCAGGACAUGAUCCCUAACGAGAACUCCGCAUUGCUUCUUGAAUGUGUCAGCAACAUUCUUAGCAAGCUUGCAUGCNNNNNNNNNNNNNNNNNNNNNNNNNNNNNNNNNNNNNNNNNNNNNNNNNNNNNNNNNNNNNNNNNNNNNNNNNNNNNNNNNNNNNNNNNNNNNNNNNNNNUUUCAGACUUGUGCUUCAUCAAGUAGACAUAACCAUAUCUACUUAGAUCGUCAGUGAAGGUGAGAAAAUAACGAUAUCCGCCGCAUGCCUCCACGCUCAUUGGACCACACACAUCGGUAUGUAUGAUUUCCAACAAGUCACUUGCACGCUCCAUUGUUCCGGAGAACGGAGUCUUAGUCAUCUUGCCCAUGAGGCAUGGUUCGCACGUGUCAAGUGAAUCAAAGUCAAGUGACUCCAAAAGUCCAUCAGCAUGGAGUUUCUUCAUGCGCUUUACACCAAUAUGACCCAAGCGGCAGUGCCACAAAAAUAUGGUGCUAUCAUUGUUUACUCUAACUCUUUUGGUUUCAAUGUUAUGUAUAUGUGUAUCUCUAUCAAGAUUCAAUAUGAACAAUCCUCUCACAUUCGGUGCAUGACCAUAAAAGAUGUUACUCAUAGAAAUAGAACAACCAUUAUUCUCAGACUUAAAAGAGUAACCGUCUCGCAAUAAACAAGAUCCAGAUAUAAUGUUCAUGCUCAACGCAGGCACUAAAUAACAAUGAUUUAAGUUCAUCACUAAUCCCGAUGGUAGUUGAAGUGACACGGUGCCGACGGCGAUUGCAUCAACCUUGGAACCGUUUUCUACGCGCAUCGUCACUUCGUCUUUCGCCAGCCUCCGUCUAUUCCGCAGUUCCUGUUUCGAGUUGCAAAUGUGAGCAACAGAACCGGUAUCGAAUACCCAGGUACUACUACGAGAGCCGGUUAAGUACACAUCAAUAACAUGUAUAUCAAAUAUACCUGAUUUUUCUUUGCCCGCCUUCUUAUCUGCCAGAUACUUGGGGCAAUUGCGCUUCCAGUGACCCAUACCCUUGCAAUAGAAGCACUCUGUUUCAGGCUUAGGUCCAGCCUUGGGUUUCUUCGGCGGAUUGGCAACAGGCUUGCCGCUCUUCUUCGAAUUGCCCUUCUUGCCUUUGCCGUUUCUCUUGAAACUAGUGGUCUUGCUCACCAUCAACACUUGAUGCUCUUUACGGAGUUCAGACUCUGCGACUUUCAGCAUCGCAAACAACUCGCCGGGAGACUUGUUCAUCCCUUGCAUGUUGUAGUUCAACACAAAGCCUUUAUAGCUUGGCGGCAGUGAUUGGAGGAUUCUGUCAGUGAUAGCUUCCUGCGGGAGUUCAAUCCCCAGUUCAGCUAGACGGUUUGAGUACCCAGACAUUUUGAGCACAUGUUCACUGACACACGAGUUUUCCUCCAUCUUGCAAGCAUAGAAUUUAUCGGAGGUCUCAUACCUCUCGAUCCGGGCGUUCUUCUGAAAGAUAAACUUCAACUCCUGGAACAUCUCAAAUGCUCCAUGACGCUCAAAGCGACGUUGAAGUCCCGGUUCUAAGCCAUACAAGACUGCACAUUGAACUAUUGAGUAGUCCUCCUUUCGCGCUAACCAAGUGUUCUUAACAUCCUGAUCAGCCGUAGCGGGUGGUUCAUCUCCUAGCGCAGCAUUAAGGACAUAAUCCUUCUUUCCAGCUUGUAAGAUUAGCUUAAGAUUACGAGCCCAGUCUACAAAGUUGCUUCCAUCAUCUUUCAACUUAGCUUUCUCUAGGAACGUAUUAAAAUUGAGGAUGACACUUGCGUGAGCCAUGAUCUACAACACAAAUUUAUUCAAAGUGGACUUAGACUAUGUUCAAGAUAAUUAGAGUUCAACUUAAUCAAAUUAUAUGCUAAACUCCCACUCAAAAAGUACAUCUCUCUAGUCAUUUGAGUAGUUCAUGAUCCACUUACACUAUCCCAAGUCCGAUCAUCACGUGAGUCGAGAGUAGUUUUAGUGGUAAGCAUCCCUAUGCUAAUCAUAUCAACUAUAUGAUUCAUGAUCGACCUUUCGGUCUCAUGUGUUCCGAGGCCAUGUCUGCACAUGCUAGGCUCGUCAAGCUUAACCCGAGUGUUCCGCGUGCGCAACUGUUUUGCACCCGUUGUAUGUGAACGUUGAGUCUAUCACACCCGAUCAUCACGUGGUGUCUCGAAACGACGAACUGUAGCAACGGUGCACAGUCGGGGAGAACACAAUUUCGUCUUGAAAUUUUAGUGAGAGAUUGCCUCAUAAUGCUACCGUCGUUCUAAGCAAAAUAAGGUGCAUAAAAGGAUUAACAUCACAUGCAAUUCAUAAGUGACAUGAUAUGGCCAUUAUCACGUGCUUCUUGAUCUCCAUCACCAAAGCACCGGCACGAUCUUCUUGUCACCGGCGCCACACCAUGAUCUCCAUCAUCAUGAUCUCAUCUUACUUACGCAAACACCACAACGGAGAUAUAUAUGAGUUGCUAUUUAACCUCAUCCAAGGACCUCCUCGGUCAAAUCCGAUUCAACUAAAGUUGGAGAAACCGUCACUUGCCAGUCAUCUUUGAGCAAAGGGGGUUACUCGUAACGAUGAAACCAGUCUCUCGUAAGCGUACGAGUAAUGUCGGUCCAAGCCGCUUCAAUCCAACAAUACCGCGAAAUCAAGAAAAGACUAAGGAGGGCAGCAAAACGCACAUCACUGCCCACAAAACCUUUUGUGUUCUACUCGAGAAGACAUCUACGCAUGAACCUAGCUCAUGAUGCCACUGUUGGGGAACGUCGCAUGGGAAACAAAAAAUUUCCUACGCGCACGAAGACCUAUCAUGGUGAUGUCCAUCUACGAGAGGGGAUGAGUGAUCUACGUACCCUUGUAGAUCAUACAGCAGAAGUGAUUAGAGAUCGCGGUUGAUGUAGUGGAACGUCCUCACGUCCCUCGAUCCGCCCCGCGAACAAUCCCGCGAUCAGUCCCACGAUCUAGUACCGAACGGACGGCACCUCCGCGUUCAGCACACGUACAGCUCGACGAUGAUCUCGGCCUUCUUGAUCCAGCAAGAGAGACGGAGAGGUAGAAGAGUUCUCCGGCAGCGUGACGGCGCUCGGGAGGUUGGUGAUGAUCUUGUCUCAGCAGGGCUCCGCCCGAGCUCCGCAGAAACACGAUCUAGAGGAAAAACUAUGGAGGUAUGUGGUCGGGCAGCCGUGAGAAAGUCGUCUCAAAUCUGCCCUAAAAGCCCCAUAUAUAUAGGAGGAGGGAGGGGGACCUUGCCUUGGGGUCCAAGGGAACCCCAAGGGGUCGGCCGGGCCAGGGGGGAGGACUCUCCCCCCCAAACCGAGUCCUACUUGGUUUGGUGGGAGGGAGUCCUUCCCCCUUCCCACUUCCCCUCCUUUUUUUUCUUUCUAUGAUUUUUCUUCCUUGGCGCAUAGGAUUUGGUGGGCUGUCCCACCAGCCCACUAAGGUCUGGUGUGACCCCCCCAAAUACCUAUGGGCUUCCCCGGAGUGGGUUGCCCCCCUCCGGUGAACCCCCGGAACCCAUUCGUCAUUCCCGGUACAUUCCCGGUAACUCCGAAAACCUUCCGGUAAUCAAAUGAGGUCAUCCUAUAUAUCAAUCUUCGUUUCCGGACCAUUCCGGAAACCCUCGCGACGUCCGUAGUCUCAUCCGGGACUCCGAACAACAUUCGGUAACCAACCAUACAACUCAAAUACGCAUAAAACAACGUCGAACCUUAAGUGUGCAGACCCUGCGGGUUCGAGAACUAUGUAGACAUGACCCGAGAGACUCCUCGGUCAAUAUCCAAUAGCGGGACCUGGAUGCCCAUAUUGGAUCCUACAUAUUCUACGAAGAUCUUAUCGUUUGAACCUCAGUGCCAAGGAUUCGUAUAAUCCCGUAUGUCAUUCCCUUUGUCCUUCGGUAUGUUACUUGCCCGAGAUUCGAUCGUCAGUAUCUGCAUACCUAUUUCAAUCUCGUUUACCGGCAAGUCUCUUUACUCGUUCCGUAAUACAAGAUCCCGCAACUUACACUAAGUUACAUUGCUUGCAAGGCUUGUGUGUGAUGUUGUAUUACCGAGUGGGCCCCGAGAUACCUCUCCGUCACACGGAGUGACAAAUCCCAGUCUUGAUCCAUACUAACUCAACUAACACCUUCGGAGAUACCUGUAGAGCAUCUUUAUAGUCACCCAGUUACGUUGCGACGUUUGAUACACACAAAGCAUUCCUCCGGUGUCAGUGAGUUAUAUGAUCUCAUGGUCAUAGGAAUAAAUACUUGACACGCAGAAAACAGUAGCAACAAAAUGACACGAUCAACAUGCUACGUCUAUUAGUUUGGGUCUAGUCCAUCACGUGAUUCUCCCAAUGACGUGAUCCAGUUAUCAAGCAACAACACCUUGUUCAUAAUCAGAAGACACNNNNNNNNNNNNNNNNNNNNNNNNNNNNNNNNNNNNNNNNNNNNNNNNNNNNNNNNNNNNNNNNNNNNNNNNNNNNNNNNNNNNNNNNNNNNNNNNNNNNGUGGGUGGUCAAUCAGGCCUUGGUCUGACUUGAACAGGCCCUGCCUCACGAUCAGGUCGAGGUAGUACUUGU
rnacentral:lncRNA from 1 species